rnacentral:rRNA from 1 species
CCUACGGGUGGCAGCAGUAGGGAAUCUUUCACAAUGGGCGAAAGCCUGAUGGAGCAACGCCGCGUGCAGGAUGAAGGCCCUCGGGUUGUAAACUGCUUUUAUAAGCGAGAAAUAUGAUGGUAACUUAUGAAUAAGGAACGGCUAACUAAGUGCCAGCAGCCGCGGUCAUACGUAGGAUCCGAGCAUUAUACGGAGUGACUGGGUGUAAAGAGUUGCGUAGGGGGGAGAAUAAGUAGCUAGUGAAAUCUGGUGGGUCAACCAUUCAGACUAUUAGCUAAACUGUUAGGCUCGAGACCGUUAGCGGUAGGAGGAAUGUCUAGUGUAGGAGUGAAAUCCGUAGAUAUUAGAAAGAACACCAAUAGCGUAGGCAGGUUGCUGGGACGGUUCUGACACUGAGGCACGAAAGCGUAGGUAGCAAACAGGAUUAGAUACCCGAGUAGUC